CCCUGGAUGGGGGCGCAUGGGAGCGGGGGGAGGCGUGACUGGAAAUCAAGGUGGCAGCGUCGGAGGCCGCUGAGCUUGUGGCGCAAGAGGACGGAAGAGGUCAGGACUUCCCGCCUGGGAGUGUCCCUGGGUCUCCCCCACCUCCUUCCCCUCAAGGGGAACUGGGUGCCAUUCCUGGAACAGAAGCGUAAGGGCCACAUUUCUGAACUACUCCAAGGAAGCACAGUGGAGGGAGGUGCCAGCUUCCCCUGCCUUACUUCACCCCUACGCAGGCGGAGAAGGAGGGAGAGGCUCUCUGCAGCCUAAUCCCCCUCUCUCCUGCUAAUCCCUCAGACUCAUCAGCUGAACCUUUCCCUCGUGCUGUGGGACCCCCAUGUUGGCCACCCGGCUUCGGAUCCUGGCCCCCAUUCCCCUUGGCCCCUGCCCACUUCCUCCCCUCCCCCAUAUUCGCGCGGCCUCGGUCUUCGGCCAGAGCUGCCAGCUGGCACUGACUGGUACUAAGCACGGAGAACCAGCUCAAGGAUU